UUGGAGGGCAAGUCUGGUGCCAGCAGCCGCGGUAAUUCCAGCUCCAAUAGCGUAUAUUAAAGUUGUUGCAGUUAAAAAGCUCGUAGUUGAAUUUCGGGGUCUAUACGUUGGUCGGGCUUUUGGGUCUGUACUGGCGUAAUGAAUUCCUACCUUCUGAAUAACCAGCAUGUCAUUAAUUUGGUGCGCCGGGGAAGCAGGACUGUUACCUUGAAAAAAUUAGAGUGCUUAAAGCAGGCUAUUGCCUGAAUACAUUAGCAUGGAAUAAUGAAAUAGGACGGCAUGGUUCUAUUUUGUUGGUUUCUAGGAUCACCGUAAUGAUUAAUAGGGAUAGUUGGGGGCAUUAGUAUUCAAUUGUCAGAGGUGAAAUUCUUGGACUUAUUGAAGACUAACUUCUGCGAAAGCAUUUGCCAAGGAUGUUUUCAUUAAUCAAGAACGAAAGUUAGGGGAUCGAAGACGAUCAGAUACCGUCGUAGUCUUAACCAUAAACUAUGCCGACUAGGGAUCGGACGAUGUUAAUUUUUUAAUGACUCGUUCGGCGCCUUACGGGAAAC
rnacentral:rRNA from 1 species